rnacentral:lncRNA from 1 species
GAUCUCUACCCUCUUUUGAUUUUUCACCUGAAGUUUUGGAAGAGAUGUACACAUCAUUGCCAUCUUGUCCAUUCUGUAGUUGAUAAGAAACAAAAGUAUAACUACUGGGUAGGCAAAGCAGACAACAGAACGUAUAGACCCAUUAAAUAUUAAAAAUGAUGUCCUGACAUAACUUUUUAAAGUUCCAACUGAGCAAUUUUCAAUGCACAGAGCAAAGAAAAUCUUUCCCCGUGUUGAAUAACCCAAGAUAACUGUUGGAAAGAACACAGCUCCUGUAUCUCUGGAAUCAAUGGUCUACGGAGUGGAAAGGCAUCACGAAAGAAGGUCCCACAGGGUGUGAAAAGUCCAGGAACAAAUGUUGAGAUUGCUUAAGCAGGGGUCCUAUAUUCUGAGGAUAUCACUGAAUGAUUUCUGAUUCUGGUAUGAGUAUCCUGAAAAGCCAACUUGGUUGUUUUUUGAUUGGGGGGUUUUAAAAGAUGAUUUAGUGCGGUUGGUAUGGCUGAGGAGAGAAGUCAUCACUUCUUUUUAUGGCAUUCCUUCUGAGUGCUUAGCACUCCAUGUUUAGGAGAAUAUGUUUCUCAUGUACUGGAAGAGAUGAGACAUACACAUAUGAAACAGUGAACAAAAUAGCUUGAACAUGAGCAUCACAAUAUGGUGGAAAGAUACAACAGAAACUGGCACAACAAUGUAAAUCAACGAUGCUUUAGUAAAUAUUUUUAAAAAAACUAAUGUGGUGGAAAGAGUAUGAAGUUCAAAGUCAGACCUAAUAGUUUUCAAAAGCUGCUGCUUCUUCCUACCAAAUACACGAUUUUAGGCAAAUUAUUAACCUUGUGAGCCUCUCUCUUUUAGUUUUAUCUGAGGAAAAAAAUGAAGCUAUGGAUAGCUUUUUCCCCCAGUAUGUUACGAUUAAAAAGAAAAUGGAAAUUAAAAGAAAACUUGAGCGAUAAUAGUUUCUGCAGGAUUCUGACUCCCAGCCAGAAUAACUCAAAAGGUCUCUGCUUUCAGCAACAGAGUCUACUGCCAACUCCUGUAUCCACAUCUGCAAAAUCAAGGGUGUAAGGAGUGGAAUCCUGGCACUUAACAAAUGUCCCAGAAUUCUUUAGAUUUCUCAAAUUAAGAAAAUCCCACCUGAGUCAAAAGGUACACAUUUCCAGU